rnacentral:lncRNA from 1 species
UUUUUUUUUUUUUAUAUAGAGACAUAACCUUACAAUAUGUGGUCUCUUGUGACUAACUUCUUUUACUCAGCAUAAUGUCUUUGAAAUUCACUCAAGUUGUAGCAUAUAUCAGUAGUUCAUUUUCUUUUAUGGCCAAAUAAUAUUCCAUUUUAUGGGUAUAAAACAUUGUGUCUAUCCAGCCAUCAGUUGAUGAACACUUAGGCAGUUUCUUUGAAUAAUACUGCUAUGAACAUUCACGUAUAAGUUUUUCUUUAGACAUACAUUUUCAAUUCUCUUGGCUAUAUACUUAGGAGUAGAAUUGCUGGGUCAUUUGGUAAUUCCAUGUUUAACAUUUUGAGGAGCUGCCAAACUGGCUGUACCAAUUUAUAUCCCUACCAGUAAUAAAUGACGGUUCCAAUUUCUUCACAUCUUUAACAGAGCUUGUUAUUGCCUUUUUUAUUAUAGCUAUUCUAGUAAUUGUGAAGUAGUAUCUCAUUGUGGUUUUGAUUUGCAUUUCCCUAAUGGCUAAUGAUGUUGGGCGUUAUUUCAUGUGCUUGUUAGUAAUUUGUAUCUUUUUUUAAAGAAAUGUCUAUUCUUAUCCUUUGUACAAUUUAAAAAAUUGGAUUGCCACUUUACUAUGGAAUUGUAACAGUUCUUUAUAUAGUCUGGAUUUAUUUUCAAAUAUAUGAUUUGCAAAUACUUUCUCCCAAUCUAUAGACUAUCUUUGUACCUUCCCGAUGCUGUUCUUUGAAGCACAAAAGUUUUUAAUUUUGAUGAAGUCAAAGUUAAUGGUCUUUUAUUACUUGUGGUUUUCCUAUUGUAUCUAAGAAAUCAUUGUAUAACUCACGAUCAUGGAGAUUUGCUUCUGUAUUUUCUUUUAAGUUUUAUUGCCAUGGUGACUUUUAUAGAUGCGACUGAAUGAAAUUGAAAUUGAAAGUGGUAUGAUUAGAGACCUAUCAAAAGAAAAUCUUUUAAUUACUUAAUUUUACAGAUAAUAAUUACUAGGAUUAUGAGAUAGUUCCUGGACAUUAACUAUAAAAAUAUUGAUAAAAAAGAAGAUAGUAACAAUAAGGAGAGAACUGCAAAGUUAUGACAGGCCUAAAAGGACUUUAGAAGUAGGUAGCAAACCUGGAUCAGUGAGAAGUCAUAGGAGGACUUUGUCCCUCUGCCCAGGGCAACUCUGGGGGACACUCUAAGGCAGCUCUUACAGUUUGUACCAACAAUAGGUGAAAAAUCAAGAACCUAACUCCUGCUCUCAUACUGCAGGACAUUGGUUAUAGAGAAUAGCAUAAUUUUCAGGCUGUACAAGAAGUACAGGCUUGGACCCAUGCAGGCUUGAUCAUUCAUUUGUCAUUGUGAGAAUGGGAGGUUUGUUUUUCUUCAGAUGGUAGAGAGCUAGGUCUGAGCAAAAGAAACUAUCUGCUUUGUCACCAUCUCUGGCACUCUACCAGUGCUGGCUAUGUCUCAGGCUCAAUGGCCAAAUACCAAAGAUCAUUGAUCAAUUAUUCUCCAUGUCCAGAUGGGAAGAAGGAUCAUAAAGACACUUUUUUUUUCAUAAUAGAAGGAACACAGGUAAGAACAAAAGAAGAAUUUACUGAUGACCUGUCAAAGUAACUUUAUCAGAGAAAUAAUUUUGAAUCCAGUUUUCCCCCUUCACACUUCCUACACUGUGUGAAGGAGAAAUGUUUCCUAAUUCAGUGAAUGGAUGACCUGAUUGAAAAACAGGCCACAUUAUGUUGAAACAUUACUCCUUCCCUUCGAAACACAAUACAAACUAAUCAUGUACUAUGUUCACUGUGAACUAUUUUAUAUGCUGCACUACACAUUCAAUACAUUUACUACAAUCCUCUAAUUUCUUUUUAACAAAUUUUGUUCUAUAAAGCAAUUAUCCUAUAGUACUACCAUGGGAACUCUCUGAUUCCCAAGCUUCAUUAUCCUUAUUCUGUUGCUACUGCCUUGGAAAUUAUGUCUCUUUCUCCAAAGGACACUUUAGGAACUACAUCACUAUACCAUAAAGGUAUUCUAGAAGGCAUCAUUCAUGGAAAACAAACUCAAUCACAAUAUAACGAUGAAGUGUAAAAGUUCAUUUGACAGAAUAGUAGAAAACAAAAUGUCUUCUAAAGACCCAAUGGAGAAAAGAGCAAAUUGUCCUUUGUAUCUGUCAUCCUUCAUGUCUUAAGCUAGAAGUACUCUUAAUAUAUGAUUCU